UCUUAUGGAUGAGAAAGAAAGUGGUUUCUUGAGAUGGAAUCUACUCAUGGAGAUGAUGAUGCUGUGAA
rnacentral:pre_miRNA from 2 species